rnacentral:rRNA from 1 species
AUUGAACGCUGGCGGCAUGCCUUACACAUGCAAGUCGAACGGCAGCACGGGUGCUUGCACCUGGUGGCGAGUGGCGAACGGGUGAGUAAUACAUCGGAACGUACCUUAUCGUGGGGGAUAACGCAGCGAAAGCUGUGCUAAUACCGCAUACGCCCUGAGGGGGAAAGCGGGGGAUCGCAAGACCUCGCGCGAUUAGAGCGGCCGAUGCCUGAUUAGCUAGUUGGUGGGGUAAAAGCCCACCAAGGGGACGAUCAGUAGCUGGUCUGAGAGGACGAUCAGCCAAACUGGGACUGAGACACGGCCCAGACUCCUACGGGAGGCAGCAGUGGGGAAUUUUGGACAAUGGGGGCAACCCUGAUCAAGCAAUGCCGCGUGAGUGAAGAAGGCCUUCGGGUUGUAAAGCUCUUUUGUCAGGGAAGAAACACCGGCUCUAACACAGUCCGGGAAUGACGGUACCUGAAGAAUAAGCACCGGCUAACUACGUGCCAGCCGCCGCAGUAA